rnacentral:tRNA from 3 species
GGCGAGGUAGCCAAGUGGUAAGGCCGGGCUCUGCAAAAGCUCUAUCGCGGGUUCGAUUCCCGCCCUCGCCUCCA